rnacentral:rRNA from 1 species
AUUGAACGCUGGCGGCAGGCCUUACACAUGCAAGUCGAACGGAGCGGCGGACGGGUGAGUAAUGCCUAGGAAUCUGCCCGGUAGCGGGGGAUAACGUCGGGAAACGGGCGCUAAUACCGCAUACUAUUGGAUCGGCCGAGGUCGGAUUAGCUAGUUGGUGGGGUAACGGCCCACCAAGGCGACGAUCCGUAGCUGGUUUGAGAGGAUGAUCAGCCACACUGGGACUGAGACACGGUCCAGACUCCUACGGGAGGCAGCAGUGGGGAAUUUUGGACAAUGGGGGAAAGCCUGAUCCAGCCAUGCCGCGUGUGCGAAGAAGGUCUUCGGGUUGUAAAGCACUUUAAGUAGGGAAGCGUUACCUACAGAAUAAGCACCGGCUAACUACGUGCCAGCAGCCGCGGUAAUUC